GCAAGUCGAGGGUUUGAUUUAUCAAACACUGGCAUCCGGGUGAGUAACGCGUAGGUCAUCUGCCCCUAUCACAGACAUAACAGUUCUAACGGAUUGCUAAUAUCUGAUGAGGCGAGCAAUCGUCAAAGCUUUGGCGGAUAGGGAUGAGCCUGCAUCUGAUUACGUAGUUGGUGAGGUAACGGCUCACCAAGCCUUCAAUCAGUACCUGGUCUGAGAGGACGAACAUCCAC
rnacentral:rRNA from 1 species